UAGGUAUGAUCUCGUGAAACCUUGAGAGAAAGUGAAUGACGAAUGAAACUAUUGUUCCUGUUUCACACAGAAGAAAACUGAGGUUAAAAGGGGUAAAGUAAUUUUGCAUGGCAUGAAGUAGAAAUUCAAAGUACAGGAAUUUGAACUUGGUUCUGUCCUUUUCUGAAGCCCCCAUGCUCUUGACCACUAUAGACUCAAACAUCACCUUGUUUUUCCACUCAUUCAACAAACUUUUUUUCUAAAUUGUCUAAUAGGUUGGCAAUCAUGAUGAGCCCCUGUUCUCAUUCUGCAAAUGGUGAAGCUCUCUAUUGUCCUGACCCCACAGUUCCUGUCCCAUGAGCAGGGCCAGCUCACCAAGGAGCUGCAGCAGCACGUAAAGUCAGUGACAUGCCCAUGCGAGUACCUGAGGAAGCCAGGUGGAGUUUGUCCCAGAGCUGCACAAAAUCAUCACCAGCAUGAUGAAACGGAGUAGACUUCAGAAAAAGCAGUUUG
rnacentral:sRNA from 1 species